UGUUAUCAGAUCUGAUCCAUAACAUAUUCAUGGGGCAAUCUGCAAGUGUAAGAACAAAAUUUACAAACAUAAUAACAUAAUGUUAAUCAUAAAACUGUAAAAGUGAUACUUACACUUGAGGAAGAGUUUGCAAAUUAAAGUUGGAAACAACUGUGGGCAAUGCAUCAAAACAAAAGAUCAAGUAUGAAACUAACUUGGAAAAAUUUGAGGAAAAGUUUGAGUAAUACCACAACAAAAACACCAAAUAUCCCAAAUGGGGAUGGGGACAAGAUGAUAGCAGGAAAAUGAUUUAGAUAAUCCUCUGCUAACCUUUAGAUGCAAAAUGGUAUGAAAAUAUUAAUUGUGGGAAUACCAAAUGUGUCUUCCUUAUUAGUUUGGUUCGGUUUUUGAUAGAUUUUAUACACACAGAUGUGUAUGCAUCUCAUAGACUAGGUGGAGAUUUGUUGUAGGUUAUGGAUACGUGACUCCAAAUUUGGUUUAUGUUUGGAAGAUUUGAUAUAAUACCGCAAGGGAAUUCUUGAUUUGGUAGUAGGAGUCUAUAAACUGUUAAUAUAUAGUGGUGGUUUGGGAGUAAUUAACUAAUUAUACAGUAUAACUGUGAUUUCUUGUAAGCAUCUUGUAUGAAUGGCAAUUCAAUUAAAAGAAGACUCGUAGAUAAAUACCGUUACAAAUACAAUGAACUCGCACCAUAUUAAUUGCAGAUCUAUGUUCUUUUCAUCUUACAUCUCCCUUCAUUUCUAUUUUUGGCCUAAAGAGUGCCGUGCUCAUAAAAAGUAAACUAUUGUUGUUGGCAUGUUGGCAAAGG
rnacentral:misc_RNA from 1 species